GCUCUCUCCGAGAAUUCAAUUAAAACGGAGGCUCUGAGCUGCUGGCGGCGGCUGUUGCUCCACCGGGGAGUUUCAGUUAACACACUCUUCUUGCAGCCAUCGGAAAGUCUUAGGUUUUCUGAGAAUGCAUCAUGUAAAGAAGGACUUGAAGGAACAGGGGAGAUUGUGGGAGUCUGUAAGAGAGCUCGUUCUAGGCAGGAAGCAGAAGGAGCCGAGGGAGACGUUUACCUGACUGCUGCAGGGGUAGUAUAUUGGCUGGCACAGCGGCAUAGGAUGAAUGGAGAAGACAUUCGCAUAAACCCAUGGAGCAAACUAACAAUGUGUGCGAUUUUCGGUGGUGUCGGGUUCCUUAUGAUGCUCUUGGCAGGAUGUGAGCCACCAAUGAAGAAGACAAGGAUGUGGGUGGUGGCUCGAGCCAGAGUUCCCAUCAGCGGUGGAAGUCACCCUGGUGUACCCUGGUGUCCCAGUCCUCACCGUUAUUAACUCCACUGGUUGUAGCCGUCACAUCUUUGGCAUUGGAACUGAAGCACCGAAGAUAAUUUCUACUUUCUCCACCGUCUAACUUUCAGUUUUAAGGGGAACUUGUCAUAUGUAAAAAAAAACAAAAAAUUGUAAAUGUUUCUUUGUGGGCAUCUUUUUACAUUUGUUUCUUUCUUCCUGGAAUCAUAUUUAGUGGCCUUAUGAUAAGCAAGAAGAGGUGAUGUUUCCAAAGAUUAUAAUUAUAGAAAAAACGGAGUGUUGGCACAGGCCUGUAAUCUGAGCAGUUGGAAGGUUUGAAGUUCAAGGUCUUCUUCAGCUUCGCAGUGAGUCAGGUCAGGGGCUAGGCUGCCAUACUUGAGACCCUGUCCCACAUUUAGAAAAGGAAAACUCAAAGAAAUAGAAAUAUCCAAAUCUCCCAUUUUUCCCAAGGGGCAGAUGGUAGAUUUCCUUAGCAGAACAUACACCUUCCCAGAGAGAACAAGAUUCAAUGAACGUGUAAAUAGUAUCUUGUUUUCUUUCUUUCUUUACUAAAAUGAUACACCCAGCACAUUUUCAGUUUGGUAACUUUCAUUUUGGUUUUUAGUUAAUGUUGUUUUAUUAGCUUCUAUCCCUUGCACCGCAUUGAGAUCCAUCACACUGUUAUCCAAAUUUCUGCUGUACUGGGAACAUCCUGAUCACUACCCCUAACGCCCCUGACCAUCUUCACUUGGCUAAUUUCUAAAUUGGUAACUAAUUACAUGCAGAUAAUUAAAGAAUAAGCAAGAGUUCCCACCGUUAGGUAAAGUUGGGGGCAUGAUGUUAAGAAAGAGAAAGCCAAUUUCAAAUCUCGAUUGUUUGGAACAAAAUUUCAAAGUUAAAAGUAUCACGAGGCAAAAAUUCCAAGUAUUAGAAUUAUACUCAGUAGUUUCAUUUCCCUUGUGAAAUUUUAUUUUAAGAGAAUAAAAUGUGGCCCAUAAAGGUAUCUGAUCUCUCAGUGUGCCUUAUGCUUCAUAUAAAUCAAAUCCAGAAAAUAAGUGGGGCAUAUGUAAAAUGAAACCUUAAACAUACCUGGGACCAUCUUUUGCGAGGCACCGAUUGCUGCGUUAUCAAUUUUUUCUUGGAGCGUUUAUUAAAGAAUAUCUUUUGUUUUAAUUUGCCCCACACAAAGCAGCUUAGAGACAUUUACAGAGACGAAGAGGGAGCUUCAAUUAACCUUGGCUGCCGAGAUAUUUUAUGUGCAUGUAUUAUGCUACAACAGGGUAAUUACCUAAUACCUUUUGUGAAGGAAUUCUAAUAAAGAAUGAAAUUGAUUUAUACAUAAUG
rnacentral:lncRNA from 1 species